rnacentral:tRNA from 1 species
GGUGAGGUGGGUGAGUGGCUGAAACCACCAGUUUGCUAAACUGACGUAGGGGAAACUCUACCGGGGGUUCGAAUCCCCCCCUCACCG